GUUCAUGGCUCAGGACGAACGCUGGCGGCGUGCUUAACACAUGCAAGUCGAACGAGAAUCUAUGGAAAGAGGAUUCGUCCAAUUGAAAUAGAGGACAGUGGCGGACGGGUGAGUAACGCGUGAGGAACCUGCCUUUCAGAGGGGGACAACAGUUGGAAACGACUGCUAAUACCGCAUAACGCGUAGAGGUCGCAUGGCCUUUACGCCAAAGAUUUAUCGCUGAAAGAUGGCCUAGCGU
rnacentral:rRNA from 1 species